UACGUAGGGUGCGAGCGUUAAUCGGAAUUACUGGGCGUAAAGCGUGCGCAGGCGGUUUUGUAAGACAGGCGUGAAAUCCCCGGCUCAACCUGGAAUUGCGCUUGUGACUGCAAGGCUAGAGUGCGUCAGAGGGGGGGUAGAAUCCACGUGUAGCAGUGAAAUGCGUAGAGAUGGUGAGGAAUGACCGAUGCGAAGGCGACCCCCUGGGAGUGACCUGA
rnacentral:rRNA from 1 species